GUCUGUGGCUUCAGCUAAGCAUGUUUUUGUUAUCCAUGUUUAUUGAAUGAAAUAUUAUUGUUGCGGACGAUUAGGUUUGCCAUUAAUUAUAACAAUUUGAUGGGUUACAAUUAUGAGUUAUGACCAGAUUCAUCUCUAUAAUAAUCUUUGCAUUUAUAUGAUGCUUAAAUGCACACGUCUCAUCUCAAACACAUGAAAAGCAGCUGUACCGAUGCAGCACCAGCGGACUCAGCACACAGAACCACCGGAUUAACGUCGUGCGUCACCGCCAGCUGCACCCAGUCGAGUCCCGGAUGGAGCCGGCGACCCUCCCCACUCAGCCUCAUCGCGGGGGGUUUCUUGCCAAUGAGCCCGCCGCUCGAAAUCGAAGGUGAGCAGCAAGCUGACGGUGCCGUUGGACUCCAUCGGCGACCAUCCGUGAGGGGUCGCGCGCACGUGCCGCCCGGACUCUCUCCCAGUGUCCAGCAGAGCGAGCGGGCGCCUUCUUUGGCUACUUUACUGAAAUUUGGGCCGAUUUAAAAAACUGCACCGCUGAAGACUCAGCUGGGAUCAUUCAGCACACAGGGUCGCGAUCGUUGCUGCCUACUGGCGGACUGGUCAUUCUUGCAAGCUACACUCAUCCUGCUCCCUUGCGUUCUCAGCUGGCUGUACAAAAUAAUCUUGCAAUGAUAAAGCUCUCUCUGUCUCGAAAUCAGCUCAAGCCUCCCAUAAAUCUCGCGACUUCUGCGUGGCCACUCCCACUCUGAAUCCCUCCCCUCUCCCCACACCCUUUUCUAUCCUUUUCCAACGCAUCACAUCCCUCACUCUACUCCCCUUCCCCGCGGUCUAGUCGCGGGUGAACAGGUGCCGGUAAUUACGGAUCAAUGACAACGAUCCUCUGUGUCGGGUGGCAGCCCAGCAGAGGGGCUGUUACGAGCCGCGAGGCGCGGUGCGGACUCCU